UUUAACACUUUACUAUUCAGAAAUGCAGACAACAUAAUGCAUUCUUGCAAAUAGCAAUAUUCAAAUGUAUUUUUAGAGUAAGUUCCAGGCAAUGCUGUAUUUUCUCACUUUCUGGCUUUUAAUAAAGCUCCUUUGCAGAAUAAUUACAACCAUUCAAACUAAGAUAAGAUGUAUUUCCAUGGGAUGGAAAGCUGUUUUAGUUUCAGAUAAAUAAAGAAUUGAAAGAAAUCAAAAGGAGUCUGCCCUUAUUUUCUUGCAUGUUUGUAAGAGCAUAUAUAAGUUACCAAGAUCUGGGAGGAAAGGAAGAUAAUACUUUUCAGAUCAAGUAAGCAGAGAGAACACUGGGGAACUGCUUGCUUGUUGAUCCCUUAAUGAGUUGGGG